AACUUUUGACAAUGGAUCUCUUGGUUCUGACAUCGAUGGAGAACGCAGCGAAAUGCGAUAAGUAAUGUGAAUUGCAGAAUUCAGUGAAUCAUCGAAUCUUUGAACGCACAUUGCGCCCGCCAGCAUUCUGGCGGGCAUGCCUGUUCGAGCGUCAUUUCAACCCUCAAGCACUGCUUGGUGUUGGGGCUCUACGGUUGACGUAGGCCCCCAAAACUAGUGGCGGACCCUCUCGGAGCCUCCUUUGCGUAGUAACUUUUGUCUCGCACUGGGAUUCUGAGGGAUUUUAGCCGUUAAACCCCCAAUUUUCUAAAGGUUGACCUCGGAUCAGGUAGGAAUACCCGCUGAACUUAAGCAUAUCAAUAAGCGGAGGAC
rnacentral:misc_RNA from 1 species